rnacentral:rRNA from 1 species
GACGAACGCUGGCGGCGUGCUUAACACAUGCAAGUCGAACGGAAAGGCCCUGCUUUUGUGGGGUGCUCGAGUGGCGAACGGGUGAGUAACACGUGAGUAACCUGCCCUUGACUUUGGGAUAACUUCAGGAAACUGGGGCUAAUACCGGAUAGGAGCUCCUGCUGCAUGGUGGGGGUUGGAAAGUUUCGGCGGUUGGGGAUGGACGCGCGGCUUAUCAGCUUGUUGGUGGGGUAGUGGCUUACCAAGGCAUUGGCGGGUAGCCGGCCUGAGAGGGUGAACGGCGACAUUGGGACUGAGAUACGGACCAGAGGCCUACGGGAGGCAGCAGUGGGGAAUAUUGCACAGUGGGCGGAAGCCUGAUGCAGCAACGUCGCGUGCGGGAUGACCGCCUUCGGGUGGUAAACCGCUGUCGCCUGUGACGAAGCGUGAGUGACGGUAAUGGGUAAAGAAGCACCGGCUAACUACGUG